AUAUUACUCCCUCCGUCCCAAAAUUCUUGUCUUAGAUUUGUCUAGAUACGGAUGUAUCAAGUCAUGUUUUAGAUACAUCCGGAUUUAGACAAAUCUAAGACAAGAAUUUUGGGACGGAGGGAGUAGUAA
rfam:Triticum aestivum genome assembly, contig: Triticum_aestivum_CS42_TGACv1_scaffold_434564_5DL